UGGGGAAUUUUGGACAAUGGGCGAAAGCCUGAUCCAGCAAUGCCGCGUGUGUGAAGAAGGCCUUCGGGUUGUAAAGCACUUUUGUCCGGAAAGAAAUCCUUGGCUCUAAUACAGUCGGGGGAUGACGGUACCGGAAGAAUAAGCACCGGCUAACUACGUGCCAGCAGCCGCGGUAAUACGUAGGGUGCAAGCGUUAAUCGGAAUUACUGGGCGUAAAGCGUGCGCAGGCGGUUUGCUAAGACCGAUGUGAAAUCCCCGGGCUCAACCUGGGAACUGCAUUGGUGACUGGCAGGCUAGAGUAUGGCAGAGGGGGGUAGAAUUCCACGUGUAGCAGUGAAAUGCGUAGAGAUGUGGAGGAAUACCGAUGGCGAAGGCAGCCCCCUGGGCCAAUACUGACGCUCAUGCACGAAAGCGUGGGGAGCAAACAGGAUUAGAUACCCUGGUAGUCCACGCCCUAAACGAUGUCAACUAGUUGUUGGGGGAUUCAUUUCCUUAGUAACGUAGCUAACGCGUGAAGUUGACCGCCUGGGGAGUACGGUCGC
rnacentral:rRNA from 1 species